GUGCUCAUUUUGGUAGCACAUAUAGUAAAAUUGGAAAAAUACAGAGACUAGCAUGGCCCCAUGCAAAGAUAAAUUCAUGCACUGUUUUAUAUUUUU
ensembl:snRNA U6 U6 spliceosomal RNA